GGCCCUGACCCCUGUGCUGGCCAGUCUUUCUGAGAGUAUGGUUGUAUGAUGGCUGGGCAUCUAAUGUCUAUGACAUUUCACACUGUUGGCUUCUUAAUGUCUGCCCUCGAGGCAGGUAUUGGUGGACAGCAGAGAAGGAAGGAAUAAAGAAGUGGAUUCAUAAUAGGGAAGGAAAUGGCAGCCCAAAGAUGAAGAUACAUGUUCCUAAGGGACAAAAUGUGCUUUCCAUGUAGAAGUCAUCCUUUCUUCAAAGUCUCUUGAAUAUAACUGAAUACCUUUCAAGAAGUGAAUGUGGAGAAAACAGAGACUUUUUCCAAAAGUUGAGGUCCAGUUCCCUACAAAAGACCUUCACCCAAAGGUCCAGUCAAGUUUAUAAUUUUCCAUCACUGGAUUUUAUCAUCGUGGGAAGAAGAUUACUGGUCCAAAGCCAUGCAGAUACCCCACUCUAAUCAGGUAAAAAGUAAGUCAUUACUCCUUUCACAUAAAAGAAUCACAUGUAUACCCCCAGUCCCAGAAAUACAGGGAAACAACUGGGCAGCUGCCUGACUCUGAAAACCAAAAAGUGUCUCUGCUGUGACCUUUUCUUGACAAGUGAAGAUGACUAAGCCAUCCACGCCCUAUAAACACCACUAUAUGGCCACAGUUUUGCCUUCAAUAUACUAUGAGUACAAGACUAAAGAAAUUUCUGUGUCAUCGCCAUCCUUAAAACAAGAUGUAACACCUCCACUCAGACCUGACCAAAAGAUUCAGACUCUAUUGCAACCUGACUCGGUGGCAGAAAAUCCUUUGGAAUAUGACCAGGAUGCCAUGGUUUCACACUACCAAUUCAAUCCAUAUCCCACACCAAAACCAAUUACUGACCAUUGGUUUGAGGACCCUCUUCAUCCCUGGUUCCAGGACAGGGACAUGGUCAAACCAUUAACAUGCCAGAGUCAUGAGACUGAGAAUUUGCUGAGUCAUAAACCCUGUUUCAGGAAAACACAUCAUCUGAAUCACUGGUACAGGGCUAUGGUAACAUCAUUGCCAAGUCUUGACCAUUGGUACAGGGCUACAGCUAUGACAGCUUCAGAUAUGAACCCAUGGGGCCAGCAUUCAGAUUUGAUUCCAUCACAUUCUCAUCUCUUCUCCAAAUCCAAGACUGCACCUUCAUUACAAGCCAAUCUAUAUGCCAAGGUCACAACUCCAUGUUCACUGUGUCCUUACCAGUGGGUUAAAACCACAUCACCACUCUCCUCACAAGAAAAAGUCAUGGUUAUACCAUCAUCAAAUCCUCAACUCCAAACUGGAACAAAAGCUAUGACAUCACUAGGUCCUGGACUUCCAGCCAAAGACAAAGAUCUUUCACCAUACCUAGACAAUUCUGGUGAAUUUGCUUCUACAUCUCCUCCAUGUCCUUACAACACUUCUGAAGAUCUACAGGAAUCUGAUAAAUCUAAGGACAUAUUUGGAUCAUCAUCAUCUCUCAUCAUCUCUUGACCCUGAUUAUAUAUUUUCACCAGGAUGAGGCUGAGGUUUCAACAGGCCUAACCCAUAAGACUACAUUAUUAAACAUGAACCCCUUGGUGGAAUUCCUACCACA